GUGGCCCCGCAGGCUCCGGGAAGGCAGCGGGCAGCUCCGGACCUCCCCGGGACCCGCAGGGAUGCGGGCCGGUGAGCCAAGGCGCUCCUCGGUGGAGUUGGGUCUUGGCGCGCUGUGCGGCUCAGGACCUGUCUGACGUAAGUGGGACAUGCAGUAAAUACCGAGAGCAUCAUUAAGCCCUGGGGCAGCAUCUUUCAAGAUAGCAGAGAGUUUUCUGGUGCCAUCUUCAGGGAGAACGCUCUUCUAGGGCACCUGGAAGGCCCUGGCACCCACCAUGAUUGCUUCAUGAAGCACAGCAGCAAGUCCAAGGACUGACCUUGUUCGUGCUGGCCAAGCGUCCUAUGGAGGGUCCUGGGGAAGCUGGUACGCUCUUGGGAGUCACUGCAGAGCAGAACUGAUAGGAGUUUGCAAAGGAGAUCAAGGCAAUCACCUCCUUUUUGCAAAUGGGCACAGCACAGAGGAAUGAUUUGUCCAGAGGCAGCAAGCCACCUGAUAGCAGCGUGAUGUGGUGCUGAAAGGAUAUAUGGGUUUAUAUGCAACAGAUCCUGAGAGACACACACAGCAUACAGACAAUAUCUGGACAGCGUUCCAAGCCCUUCUCUCCAGAUUAUAACAGUCUGUAUUUUCUCCAUGUAUAAAGGAACAGUAUUUUACAAUUGGGAAUAGAAGAUAUUUUCAUUUGGAAGAUACUUGUUUUUAAGACUCUAUGAAGUGAUCAUCUAAUGUCACAAAUUUAAUUCCUUUUUG